rnacentral:lncRNA from 10 species
CGCGCACCCACUGACCUGGGCCCACUGUCUGGCACUCCCUAGUGAGAUGGACCCGGUACCUCAGAUGGAAAUGCAGAAAUCACCCGUCUUCUGCGUCGCUCCGAAAGAGUGGACCAGGAGGAGUUUUCAGAGGAGUCUGUGAUAGGCGCUUUGUGACUCCAGGACACGUUGAGUAUACGUGAUUGAUGAAACCAAUGGUACAUCUGGAACACUGGCUGAAAUGAAGAAUGGAAAAUGUUAGCUUUCCAGGCCUCCUCAGGCCAGGAAGGCAUACUGGAGAGAUACGGCAGCAGAGUCACACAAGCAAGGCAGCUGGAUUUGUGACAAUGAGAGAAGCGCGGGGUCAAAGAACAUAGAGUGUUUUGAGAACAGUGUCUCCAGAUGAGAGGGAAGAGAACUGGCACAGGAAAGCAGAUGGAGGCAGAUAUGAGUCUCACUCUGGUGGAUUAUUGUUCCAAACAGUAGCAUGAAGUAUUCAUCCGACCAUUUCAGCCGUGAGCUUCCUCUCAACAUUGUGUGAUGACCCAGAUACUGAACUUUUGUCUUUUGCCUUUUACCCCAUUUUCUAGAAUAGACAAUGCACUUUCAACUCCAGGAUGAUCAUGCAGCCUCGGGGGUCAUCAAAUGAAUUGAUUUUUCUUGGCAAUUUUUUCCUAAUAAAGUACAGCUUUCAGGUUUUUUUUUUUCUAUUUCUUUUUAUGCCCCCAAAGGAAGGAUGCCAGAAGCAGCAUAACUUGUUCUUGUCAUGUUAGUGAAUUGUAGAAAUAUUAGCAUUCUGGAUAAGAAUGCCAUGGAAGCCAGGGGCCAAAAGCUCAGCAAUCCAUAUGGUUUGCAAUAUAUACCCUUAGGCAGGCCUCAUGGGUUGUGGUUGUUUAAAAGAAAAAGAACAAACAAAUACAAAACCAAACAAAAUCAGAGGGAGAAGUAAAAAGUAAUUUCUUGAGUGAGAAAUCAGGAUGGGGGAGUCUGCCCUUUAAAACUGAUCUCCUUUGUCUGCAGUGCCCCUAAACUUGUCACCCAAUUACUCAUGGAGGAAGUCUGCAUAGACCUACAUGGGCACCCUCACAGGAAGGCAAACUCAGAUCUAUUUCCGUAUCCACCUUGUAAUUAGUUUGUACAGGGGAAAUUACUGUGGACUAAUGGAGUAGCCUCUUUCCAUUUGUGGCUUCUCUGUUAGUUUUCAGCAGGGAAAGUGUGGGACAGAAAAUUUGCUUUGUAAAAACCACAUAAAACUUUUCAAGGUACUCUUAACUCCUAGCUCUCUUAGAAAAUUAAGGUUUCCUUCUCCUAAAAGUCUAUGUUAGCUUGUUUUCAAAUAAAGUUUUGAGUUAUGUUAUUCUCUCACUAAAACUUUACCAUCAAAGUAAUACUGAAUAUAGUCACUCCUUGUAGAUGUUAGGCUGUGAUAACAAUAAUAAUAAUCUUGCAUAGUUGAUUAUAAUUUCAACAAUGAAAACACUCAUUUUAUAUUAUUAAGAUAUGAACUUAAAAUUGUACAAAUUGUAUUACAGUCUAAAUUUAUGUGAGACAGAGAAAAUAACAUUCUCAGAUGUUUUAUAAGAGACCAUUGACUAAUAAUACUUAAGUUCAAUUAUUUAAUCAUGUGCCUAUGAAGUUUAUCUAAACCUAUUUAUAAAACUCAUCUAUAUAUUAGUAUAUUAAUGCUUUGCUUACUUCUAAUUUUUAUUUUUUAUUUUAUUUUACUUUUUGAGACAAAGUCUGGCUCUGUCACCCAGGCUGGAAUGUAGUGGCACUAUCUUGGCUCACUGCAACCUCCCCAUCCUGGGCGCAUGUGAUCCUGAUCCUCCCACCUCCGCCUCCUGAGUAGCUGGGACCACAGUUGUGCUCCAGUAUGCCCAGCUAAUUUUGUACUUUUGGUAGAGAUGGGGUUUCACUGUGUUGUCCAGGCUGGUCUUGAACUACUGCACGCAAGUGAUCCACCAGCCUCGACUUCCCAAAGUGCUAGAAUGACAGGCAUGAGCCACUGUGCCGGCCCGAUACUUUGCUUACUUCUAAGGAUUAAUUUUAUGUGAUGAUUCUUUGCUAACAAUGAAGUUUUUUUGUUUUGUUUUGUUUUUUGUUUUUUGGUUUUUUUUAGUUCUACUGCAUAGUGUGGUAAAUACAGUUUAUAGAGUAUUGAACAUUUCCAAAUGGCUAAAAGAGUAAAUUUUAAAUGUUCUCACUAAAAAAAUGCUAAGUAUUUAAGGUGAUGGAUAUGUUAAGCAGCUUGAUUUAAUUUUUAUUCCACAUUAUACUCAUAAAUCAUAACAUUACUUUGUACCCCGUAUAUUUAUACAGCUAUAGAU